rnacentral:rRNA from 1 species
GACGAACGCUGGCGGCGUGCUUAACACAUGCAAGUCGAACGGAAAGGCUCCAGCUUGCUGGAGUACUCGAGUGGCGAACGGGUGAGUAACACGUGGGUAAUCUGCCCUGCACUCUGGGAUAAGCCUGGGAAACUGGGUCUAAUACUGGAUAUGACCUUUCUCCUUAUGGGGUUUGGUGGAAAGUUUUUCGGUGUAGGAUGAGCCCGCGGCCUAUCAGCUUGUUGGUGGGGUGAUGGCCUACCAAGGCGACGACGGGUAGCCGGCCUGAGAGGGUGAUCGGCCACAUUGGGACUGAGAUACGGUCCAGACUCCUACGGGAGGCAGCAGUGGGGAAUAUUGCACAAUGGGCGGAAGCCUGAUGCAGCGACGCCGCGUGAGGGAUGACGGCCUUCGGGUUGUAAACCUCUUUCAGCAGGGACGAAGCGUAAGUGACGGUACCUGCAGAAGAAGCACCAGCUACUACGUGCCAGCCGCCGCGGUAA